rnacentral:rRNA from 1 species
AUCCACGGAAGUUUUCAGAGAUGAGAAUGUGCCUUCGGGAACCGUGAGACAGGUGCUGCAUGGCUGUCGUCAGCUCGUGUUGUGAAAUGUUGGGUUAAGUCCCGCAACGAGCGCAACCCUUAUCCUUUGUUGCCAGCGGUCCGGCCGGGAACUCAAAGGAGACUGCCAGUGAUAAACUGGAGGAAGGUGGGGAUGACGUCAAGUCAUCAUGGCCCUUACGACCAGGGCUACACACGUGCUACAAUGGCGCAUACAAAGAGAAGCGACCUCGCGAGAGCAAGCGGACCUCAUAAAGUGCGUCGUAGUCCGGAUUGGAGUCUGCAACUCGACUCCAUGAAGUCGGAAUCGCUAGUAAUCGUGGAUCAGAAUGCCACGGUGAAUACGUUCCCGGGCCUUGUACACACCGCCCGUCACACCAUGGGAGUGGGUUGCAAAAGAAGUAGGUAGCUUAACCUUCGGGAGGGCGCUUACCACUUUGUGAUUCAUGACUGGGGUGAAGUCGUAACAAGGUAACC